AUGGGUGACGGUGGCCCUGAACGGUGGCGGCGCUCGCGGGGGCGGCCGCCGGCGGCGACAUCGCAGGACAUCAACGCGCCUAAGAUCCGUGGCUGCGCGAACGACUUCAUGCUCAUACUGGAAAGGGGGCCUGGGGGUGUGUUUCUCAUUCAGAUCAAGGUGAUUUCUUGGCGUCCAGAUGGAUAUAUGCAGCACAUCUCGGGACCUCUGCAUGCCGAGACGAUGACAGGUUUGAGGGCAGCAGAAGUGAGUGCUGAAUUUGGCCCACACAGGGUGGUACCUGAAUCUGACUCCAAGGUCCUUGUCCAAGCUCUGAACUCUGAUGAUUACGACCGGGCCACGAUUGGCGUCCUGUUACACGAGACGCAUAGUGUAUGUCAUGCAAACUUUGAGCCAUUUAGUUUCAAUUUUUGUAAAAGGGAUUGUAAUAAGGUGUCCCAUGAACUAGCCGCAUUUGGCUUCAGGGCAAGAGCUGCUGAUCUUUCGUGGAUCGAGUAG
rnacentral:rRNA from 1 species